UUGGCCUUUUGGGAGGAGCUCUGCGGUGUGACUCUGCGGUGCGACUCUGGAGCAGGGGCUGCUGGUAUCAUGAACAACACCUCAGAUGCAUUUCUGGAAGUGAAAAAGUUCCAAGUGACAGCUGGAUACAGUUGAGAUGCCACUAGUGCCCUUCCAAGUAUGUGGGAGUCAGAUGUACUGAGGGUCAAUCUGGAAGUCCAGCCGCCAUCUUCCCUACGUAAAUGGAUCCCAGACUCCAAACUUCUAGACACCAUCUUCACAUAAGCUUCUGUUGCCUCCCCUGGGACCUCUUGGAUCCCCACAAGAAAAGGGAGCAGAAAUUUACAAGAUGUCACCACGUUACAUGAUGCUGAUCUUCACACAGGGCUGCCCAGCCGUAAAACAGCACAGCACGUGACAGUCCAUACAGCCCUGCCAUCACACCAGCCCCAGACUCCCACCCUCCCACUGUCAUCUCCUUUUGGAGCCUCAGUUUUUUCAUCUGUAAAAGGGGAAUAUUAUCACCUAUAUCCCAGGGCCAGGGUGGGGAGUGGAUCCAUUGCAUAUCAGGAAACUGGUCCGCAGGAGGCCCAGAAUAAACGCCAGCUGUUCCAGUAGUUUCUGUAGGAAGGCAGAGCUUGCCUUUCAGUCACCCCACUGACAGAUAUGUCAACAGGAAGAGCGGGAUGUUGAGAGAUGCCUCCUGAGCUGAUGCUGGCAGAAGAGCUGUGACAAUCUGCCUCUAGAAAAAUCUCAGCAAGCUGCCUGGCCCAGGGGAACUCCAACCAUGACGAUGCGCCCAGAGCCUGCAAGAUGUUUCCUAAUUGUUGCUGCUCAUGAGGGACAAGCAACAGCUGAGCUAAUUCUUUUUCCCAUCAAUUUGCAACAUCUGCCCCAGCCCUUACUGGCAGUGGAAAAAUAAGGACUUUCUGGGCAUGCCUUCCGACUGUCAACCUCUGACAAGUUACGGGGCCCUUCCAGAAAUCAGACUUGUUGACUGAUAUCUGCACAGGCAUCAACAGCUUUGGGGAACAGAGAGCAGCACUGGCCUGUGGACUUUUUGUUCUCUUGCCCCAGCACAUCGUGGGAAUUGGCACACAGGAAUCCAGAAACAUGUGAAGACAACUGGGCUGGGAGAGCAGUGGGGUCCAAGCUGUGGAAUCUGUGAGGAUCACAAAGCGAUUGGGCCCUUAAUGACCUUGAGAUUUCAGGCAAGUCAUUGCGUGCAUGUGUACAGGGUGUAUUUCACAGAAGUAAGUAAGGACUGAUGGAUUGGGGCCAGCCCGGCCCAGCCUUGCUCCUUAUAGAAAGUUUGGACUUUGGUUUCCUCUGCACAGCAAGGGCAGAGCUAUGGCACCCACCUUAUAGGGUCUUGUAACAUUUUUGAGAUAUUACCACCUAAGAAGUUUGCGUAGAGACUGACAGGCUCCUAUGUUCAAUAAAAAGGGUCAUGUGAUUUAUAACAUA